UGCCUCUUCACUCCGAGGUUCUCUUCUUAUUUUAUUUUUUAUUUUUUGCUCCUCUACUGCUUGCAGUAUCUUUUAUGUCAAUUACUGCGUUCUAUAUCUGGAGUCAUGGUCAAUGUUUAUACGAUCGAUUAUUAUCUAUUUUUAUCAGCUCAUUUUAGGUGACACCAUGACAGUAUCACAACCAAAAGUUUCCAGAAUAGUUUUUCGUGUGAGCGUUUUACUUGCAAGCAAAAUUCAUGAUUACAUUAAAAUGCCUCGAACUCAAGCAGCGAAAUUAGAAAACCAGAGACUUUUUUAACGUUUGGGAUUUGGUAAUGGAGCAAUUGGAAUACCCGGGGUUGAUGGAGCAAUUGGUUGUACUCAUAUCCGAUUAGUUCAUACAAGGUUUCCAAAUAUUAAUGAAAUCUACCGAAAUCGAGAGGUUUAUUUUUCUCUGAAUGUACAAACGAUUGUUGGCCCACGAAUGGAAUUUUUAGACAUCGUCCCAGAAUGGCCUGGUAGUGCUGAUGAUAGUCGAAUUUUUCAAAAUUCUCGAAUUUACAAGAGAUAUUCUGAACGUGAGCUAACUGGUAUACUUGUCGGUAAUGCUGGAUAUCCAUGUCUACCUUUUCUAAUGACGCCCGUUGCCAAUCCAGUUACAGAUUAACAAAUAGCCUAUAAUAAUAUUCAGAGUAGAACUCGAAUAAUAGUUGAAAGAACUUACAGUGUUUGGAAGCGAAGAU